CGCGAAGAACCUUACCAGGUCUUGACAUCCUUUGACCACCUAAGAGAUUAGGCUUUCCCUUCGGGGACAAAGUGACAGGUGGUGCAUGGCUGUCGUCAGCUCGUGUCGUGAGAUGUUGGGUUAAGUCCCGCAACGAGCGCAACCCUUGUCUUUAGUUGCCAUCAUUAAGUUGGGUACUCUAGAGAGACUGCCGGUGACAAACCGGAGGAAGGUGGGGAUGACGUCAAGUCAUCAUGCCCCUUAUGACCUGGGCUACACACGUGCUACAAUGGGCAGUACAACGAGAAGCGAACCCGCGAGGGUAAGCGGAUCUCUUAAAGCUGUUCUCAGUUCGGACUGCAGGCUGCAACUCGCCUGCACGAAGCUGGAAUCGCUAGUAAUCGCGGAUCAGCACGCCGCGGUGAAUACGUUCCCGGGUCUUGUACACACC
rnacentral:rRNA from 1 species